rnacentral:rRNA from 1 species
CUACGGGGGGCUCCAGUCGCGGAACUUUUACAAUGCACGCAAGUGUGAUAAAGCAAGCCAAAGUGUUUUUCGUUUAGAAAAACUUUUUCUUAGUGUAAAAAUCUAGGAGAAUAAGGACUGGGAAAGACUGGUGCCAGCCGCCGCGGUAAUACCAGCAGUUCAAGUUGCAUCCCUUUUUAUUGGGUCUAAAACAUCCGUAGCUUGAAUUUUAAGUCUCUUGUGAAAUCCCACGUCUCAAGCGUGGCGAAGUGCAGGAGAUACUGGAAUUCUAGAGAUCGGUAGACGUAAGGAGUACGCCGGAGGUAAUGGUAAAAUAUGUUAAUCUUCGGUGGACUAACAAUGAGCGAAGGCACCUUACGAGGACGAAUCUGACAGUGAGGGAUGAAGGCCAGGGGCGCAAAACGGAUUAGAUACCCGCGUAGUC